UUUUGACCAGAAUCCAAAACCCCCUGUUCCCUGUAUAGUGCACUAACUUUUUUUGAACACCAGAAUCCAAAAACCCUAUUGUUCCCUGUAUAGUGCACUACUUUGGACCAGAAUCCAAAACCCUAUUCCCUGUAAUAGUGCACUAUUUUGACCCAGAAUCCAAAACCCUGUUCCCUGUAUAGUGCACUACUUUUGACCAGAAAUCAAAACCCUGUUCCUGUAUAGUGCACUACUUUUGAGACCAGAAUCCAAAACCCUAAUUUCCGGUAAUAGUGCACUACUUUUGACCAGAAAUCCAAAACCCUAUUCCCUGUAUAGUGCACUACUUUUGACCAGAAUCCAAACCCUAUGCCCUAUAUAGUGUCACUAUACUUUUGACCAGAAUCCAAAACCAAAACCCCAUUCCCUCUGUAUAGUGCACUACUUUGACCAGACAUCCAAAACCCCAUUCCCUGUAUAGUGCACUACUUUUGACCAGAAUCCAAAACCCUAUUCCCUUUUUAUAGUGCACUACUUUUGACCAGAAUCCAAAACCCUAUUCCCUGUAUAGUUCACUAACUUCCUCAGGCAACACUACGCAAUCUGAAUCCCCCCCUCGGCAGGCAACACAAUGCCACUCUGAAUCCCCCCCUCCCGCGGGCAACAACUAGGCAUUCUUUCUGAAAUCUCCCCUCCUCGGGCAACACGAUGAUGCACUCUGAAUCUCCCCCUCCUCGGCGCAACACUAUGCACUCUGAAUCUCCCCCUCCUCGGGCAACACUAUGCACUCUGAAUCUCCCCCUCCUCGGGCAAACACUAUGCACUCUGAAUCUCCCCCCUCCUCGGGCAACACUACGCACUCUGAGUUCCAUAAUUCCUUGCCUUAUUUUGGAACACAUGUCAGUGGCCCAGCCCUGAAAGUGUACUGUUUAAACUGUAGCACCCCGUGUGUCAGUCUGAAAUACUCCAAUAGUUACAGUUGUACUGGUUGUUCCCUGCAUGUUACAGACAGUUAUCUAAUCACACACAGAACUACUAGUACAAGCACAAACCUCCGUCUAGUCACACAACCAGAAACUACUAGUACAAAGCACAAACCUCCAACGUCUAGCCACACACCAGAAACCACUAGUACAGCACAAACCUCCGUCUAGUCACACAACCAGAAACUACUAGUACAGCACAAAACUCCAACGUCUAGCCACACACCAGAAACACUAGUACAGCAAAACCUCCAACUCUAGAGUACACACCAGAAACUACUAGUACAGCACAAACCUCCAACGUCUAGUCACACACACACCAGAAACUACUAGUACAGCACAAACCUCCAACGUCUAGUCACACAACCAGAACUAACUAGUACAAGCACAGAAACCUCCAACGUUCGAGUCACACACCAGAAACUACUAGUACAGCACAAACCUCCAACGUCUAGUCACACACCAGAAACUACUAGUACAGAACAACCUCCACCACGCUCUAGUCAGGGGCGUCAAACAUACGGAAACAAACUGAAUAUAACUUUUCCAAUGACUGAAACCAAUAGAAACGUGAUAAUGGACCCUAAUUCAUACAGUUUAUUGACUGUGUCCUUGUUGCCUAAUAAUCAUUUGAAAUAAAAGCUAGACUGUCAGGAAGCAAUCAAAUCCCCCCAAAAUGAUGGAUAGAGGACUGUUUUGGACAGGGGAUCAUUUAUAACAUUUUCAUUGCGGCCCUCCGAACUGGUGGGAGAUUGAAUGCGGCCCCUGGGAAAAGUGGUUUGACACCUCCUAGUCACACACCACACACAACACACACACACAACACACACACACACAGACUAUGUGUAUUGUCUGAGGGAGAUUCAGAGUGACUUACACAAACUCAAGAAGACGCGCUCCAUAACACAGCUUCGUGGAAAGUUAGCAACAAUCUGUUAUGUUUUAAAAACAAUUUAAAAAUAUGAUAUUUUAAAAAAUAUAAAUCCCCCCUCGUUUUCUACUUCCUCGAUGAAUUGGAUGAAUCAACUCAAACUGAAUUUUUGAAAUCACGCCGUCCUCGUCUGUUACAAAGCAAGACCUAGCAGCCUGCUACAAAACCCUAGCUAGCAUAGCUUUAGUCCGUCCAACGACACCACCAGAACUAGGAAUAAAAAAGUGUCUCUGUUCAGUCAGUGAGUGAAUGGCUACGUUUGGCAAAGCCCCGCCUGGGCCCUGGUCACCAGUAGUGCACUAUAAAGGGAACACAGUGCUUGUUUUGGGAUGCUUCAGGUGUGUGGUUUAGGGGGAUGUUAGCAUUGUGUGUAAACUAAGGUCUGCCCUUUAAAAAAAAAAAAACCUUUUCCCCUCCCCCCCUCCUCGCCCUGCCUCCCUGCUCGUCAUGGAGCCGAUUCAGUAACGCCCUGAAGAUCGUUGAGGAGGUGAGCAGCAGGCUGUAUCAAACGGCUCCUGUAUAUAAGGGCCCUGGGUUUCUUCUCCACCCUUGAAUUGGAGGCACUGCUUUAAAAACCCUGCUGGUCAUUCUGGUCAAAAGUAGUUCACUAUAUAGGGAAUAGGGUCCAUUUGUGACCGUCUUAAUGCUUGACCUCUUCAACUCACUCACCCUCAGUACAUUCUCUGUUUGCUGUCUGAUUCUACUUUGGCUCGCCUUAGGAGUUACCAGCUGGAGUGAUGUAUGUAGGGGGUACAGCUGAGGUGAAUGUUAUGUAGAGGGUACAGCUUAGAGGGGUAUGUUUAUGUAGGGGGUACAGCUGGAGGUGUAUGUUAGGUAGGGGGGUACAGCUGGAGUGGUAUGUUAUGUAGGGAAGGGUGGUACACUGGAGGUUAAUGUUAUGUAGGGGGGUAAACCGCUGGAGGU
ensembl:lncRNA